rnacentral:rRNA from 1 species
GUGGGGAAUAUUGCACAAUGGGGGAAACCCUGAUGCAGCGACGCCGCGUGAGCGAUGAAGUAUUUCGGUAUGUAAAGCUCUAUCAGCAGGGAAGAAAAUGACGGUACCUGACUAAGAAGCCCCGGCUAACUACGUGCCAGCAGCCGCGGUAAUACGUAGGGGGCAAGCGUUAUCCGGAUUUACUGGGUGUAAAGGGAGCGUAGACGGCAUGGCAAGCCAGAUGUGAAAGCCCGGGGCUCAACCCCGGGACUGCAUUUGGAACUGUCAGGCUAGAGUGUCGGAGAGGAAAGCGGAAUUCCUAGUGUAGCGGUGAAAUGCGUAGAUAUUAGGAGGAACACCAGUGGCGAAGGCGGCUUUCUGGACGAUGACUGACGUUGAGGCUCGAAAGCGUGGGGAGCAAACAGGAUUAGAAACCCUAGUAGUCCC